UCAGCGAGAGGAGCGCAACGGAUCUUUUUUCCUUCGCUCGGCUCGUAUCUCGGCAUGAAGGAGGUAAAGAGCGAGCGGGAGCGGGGGAGCCGGCGGAGGCACCGCGACGGGGACAUGGUGGCGGCGGCGGUGGUGGUGAAGGUGAAGCAGGAGCGCCUCAGCCCGGAAGCCGCGCCUCCCGCCCACCGCCGCCCAGAUUCCUCCGGCGGUAGCGCGUCCCCGCCGGCUGGCGAGCCGGGCCGCCCUCCUCACCGCGGGAACCGAGCCCGAGGAGGUAGCCGGUCCCCAGCCAAAAAGAAAAACAAGUCCUCAGGGAGAAGAAGCAAGUCUCCUCGGAGUAAGAGAAGCCGAAGUCCUCACCACUCAACAGUCAGAGUGAAACAGGAACGUGAGGAUCAUCCCCGGAGAGGACGGGACGAACGGCAGCACCGGGAGUCAUCGGGCCAGGAACACAGACGAGCUAGAAACAGUGACCACGACAGACACAGGGGCCAUUCCCACCAGAGGAGAAGCUCUAAUGAGAGGCCUGGGAGUGGGCAGGCUCAGGGACGGGACCGAGACAUUCAGAAUCUACAGGCUCAGGAUGCAGAGCGGGAGUUUUACAACGCCCGAAGACGGGAGAAUCGCCAGAAGAACGAAGUUAGUGUUGGUGGUAAUGAGUCUCAGGAGUUGGUUCCCCGACCUGGUGGCAACAGUAAAGACAAAGAGGCACCCGCUAAAGAAAAGCCAAGCUUUGAACUCUCUGGGGCACUUCUUGAGGACACCAACACCUUCCGGGGUGUUGUCAUUAAGUAUAGUGAGCCCCCAGAAGCACGUAUCCCCAAAAAACGAUGGCGCCUCUACCCCUUUAAAAAUGACGAGGUGCUUCCUGUCAUGUACAUCCAUCGGCAGAGCGCCUACCUCCUGGGCCGGCACCGCCGCAUAGCGGACAUCCCAAUCGAUCAUCCCUCCUGCUCAAAACAGCACGCGGUCUUUCAGUAUCGGCUUGUGGAAUAUACCCGUGCUGAUGGGACAGUUGGCCGAAGGGUGAGGCCCUACAUCAUUGACCUUGGCUCAGGCAAUGGAACGUUCUUGAACAACAAGCGCAUCGAGCCACAGAGAUACUAUGAACUAAAGGAAAAGGAUGUACUUAAAUUUGGGUUCAGCAGCAGAGAGUAUGUCCUGCUUCACGAGUCCUCCGACACCUCUGAAGUAGACAGGAAAGAAGAUGAGGAUGAGGAGGAGGAGGAGGAAGUAUCUGACAGCUAGCAAACUAAGAAACAGCCCAAACUCUGGAAGGACCUUUCUUUAAAGGUUUUGGGAUUGAGUCAGAGAGCACCAUGGUUCUCUCUGUCAUGCCUCUUAAUGCCUUAAGUCUUUCCUCUGUUGCUGACCACCUUCUGUUAUAGUAUAGGAAAACUGACUUCUGUUUGGUUGAACUUUUUUCUGUGGCACAUCAGCCCCUUGCCUGUGGGCAUUUGUUUUCAGAACAGUCUCACCAACACAUUGUGUUUCAGUAGAAGCAUCGUGGCUUUAGUUGGUGCUUUCAGAACUGCUGCCUAGGAAACUACAAACCCUUGGUUCAAGGGGAAUUGUGGCUUGUUCUCUUUGUACAGUUACUUUAUUUAUAUAGUUGUCAAGCUUUGUGGACUGGGUUUGUUUUUGUUUUUGGGGCAAACCCCUGAACAGAGAACCUUACUAAGCUUUGGUUGUCACCAAAACAGCCUCCAUUAUAUACCAAAACUUUGACCUGGUUGAGCUCUUGAGUCACAGAAGUUGACUUUGCACUUCAUUUUUGGGGGGGUGGGAAUUUACCACAUGACCUCAUUAUUAACUGUUGGACUUAAACAGAUGCUUUAUGGAACCUGCUGAAGCCUACAACUGUACAGGAAGAUCCUGGCUACCGCCAGUGGGUGCUGAUACAACGUCACGAGAGGCUGAAAUGGGUCAUGGAUCGGUUUCCUGUGAGAGAAUUCUGAUUUCUCCAUAGAGCAUGUACAUAACAAUUUUGAUCAUCAUAUCUGUUCAACUUAGCAGUUUUAUUCAAAUGUUAUUUCUUUCCUUCUUUGCAAAACAGUGUCAUUUAUGUAGCACGGUCCUUGCUUUAUUCUAACAAUGUAUGUAUGUGUGUAAAGGAGGUUGUAUAGUUGACAUGUUUCAUCUUUUUAAAAAAAUGUUCAUAGAGAUUGUAUUUACUUUCCCAAGGCCGGAAAGCAAGGGAGUUGCCGUUUCCUAAUUUUCCACAGAGGAAUAUGUAGCCCCUCUCCCAAAUCCUCCGUGGUGGUCUACAGUUCUGCUGAAGUGUUGGACAGAAUCUUCAGGUUUUCCCCAUCAAACCUCUUCCUAGUCACCUAGUUCCCUCAUUUGGACAUGGACAAAGGACACCUCAUUAAGAGCAACUGGUGACGGAGCUCUCAGAUACUUUUAUUGUAUUCUGGUGAUAAAGCAGAGUCAUCAAUUCAGAUGCAAAAACCGAGGCACAGAGAAGUUAAGGUCACACCGGGAUUCAAACCUACUCUGGUUCCAGGUGCCACACUCUUACCCACUGUGAUGUACUCCCUCUUACGCAGUUGAGAGAUAUACAAGGUCUGGCCCUGGCAGAGCAAUAUAACUAGCAGCUACAGACAGUGCUAGAUAGGAGCAGCAUUGGGGAUUGUGGAAGCAUAGAGAAAUAGGAUUUAACAAAGCCUCAGGAGUCAGAGAAGAAUGAACAGCCAGAAGAGGUCAGUGGGGUUGAGGAAAGAGAGCAAUAUUUCUAGGCAGAGAGGCUAGCACUUAGAAAUGCCUGAGGUGAUAAACUAAUGAGGUUUUGGAAGCGCUCAGAAGUUCAAUAGGGGAGACAGUGAGUGAAACUUCUGGUUUCUGUUAAUGAUGGCCUAAGCUAUUGUGUG